UGGGAAUUUGGACAAUGGGUGAAAGCCUGAUCCAGCAAUGCCGCGUGUGUGAAGAAGGCCUUCGGGUUGUAAGCACUUUUGUCCGGAAAGAAAUCCUUGGCUCUAAUACAGUCGGGGGAUGACGGUACCGGAAGAAUAAGCACCGGCUAACUACGUGCCAGCAGCCGCGGUAAUACGUAGGGUGCAAGCGUUAAUCGGAAUUACUGGGCGUAAAGCGUGCGCAGGCGGUUUGCUAAGACCGAUGCGAAAUCCCCGGGCUCAACCUGGGAACUGCAUUGGUGACUGGCAGGCUAGAGUAUGGCAGAGGGGGGUAGAAUUCCACGUNUAGCAGUGAAAUGCGUAGAGAUGUGGAGGAAUACCGAUGGCGAAGGCAGCCCCCUGGGCCAAUACUGACGCUCAUGCACGAAAGCGUGGGGAGCAAACAGGAUUAGAUACCCUGGUAGUCCACGCCCUAAACGAUGUNAACUAGUUGUUGGGGAUUCAUUUUCCUUAGUAACGUAGCUAACCGCGUGAAGUUGACCGCCUGGGGAGUACGGUCGCAAGAUU
rnacentral:rRNA from 1 species